rnacentral:rRNA from 1 species
GACGGACGCUGGCGGCGUGCUUAACACAUGCAAGUCGAGCGAGGCCCCUCCUUCGGGAGGGUGUCCUAGCGGCGAACGGGUGAGUAACACGUGGGCAACCUGCCCUCAGCUCUGGGAUAACUCCGGAAAACCGGGGCUAAUACCGGAUACGACCUCCACGGGCAUCUGCGGAGGUGGAAAGUUUUUCGGCUGAGGAUGGGCCCGCGGCCUAUCAGCUAGUUGGUGGGGUAGUGGCCCACCAAGGCGACGACGGGUAGCCGGCCUGAGAGGGCGACCGGCCACACUGGGACUGAGAUACGGCCCAGACUCCUACGGGAGGCAGCAGUGGGGAAUAUUGCGCAAUGGGCGAAAGCCUGACGCAGCGACGCCGCGUGAGGGACGAAGGCCUUCGGGUUGUAAACCUCUUUCAGCAGGGACGAAGCGAAAGUGACGGUACCUGCAGAAGAAGCACCGGCCAACUACGUG